rnacentral:lncRNA from 1 species
AAGGUAUUGAUUAGAAAUUAAUGAUUCCUUUUUCUUGAAGUGAUAACAUUUCCAUAAUCACAACAAUGUUAUGCAUUGUUUAAAGUCAAUUUGAAAAUAAGACGUAUACGUUAGAAAAUAUGGUAGUUUUUAUAACAAUUUACUAAAAUUUUAGGUUUUACUUAUUUAUAAUUAAGGCUGUAUAAAAUAUUCUGGAACAUUAUAAAGCAUGUUUUAAGUUAUCAGUUGGAAAAAUCCAGACACAUUACAGGUAUACUAAAAUGACCUUAGACUUAGAUCUUGUUUGAGAAUAUAUUAGCAUAUUUUGAGGUUUCAAACACACAUGAAUAAUAUGAACACAUUUUUGGAAAAUGUUCAGAAUAUACAAACAUUAAAAUACUAUUUUAAUGAAUUAAGUUGUUGAAAUUAAUUUUAAAUUAAACAAGAACAUUCAAAUUAAGAGGUGGUCUGCAUCUUCACUUAACAAAGGAUCACCUAACCUUUUAAAGGGUUUCUCAAGGAGUAUUUUAAGUAGAAGAUUCCCAAUCACAGUGUGUGAGUAUUUAGAGAUGCAAGUAUGUCUUGACACACUUGUAUGUGUAAAUACUCUGAUGAAGCAUACAAUGAUACAAUUGAGAAGAUAAGACAGCCAAAUGUUCUUGUCUUUAUUAGGCUGCUUUGACAAAACUACAAACUAUAAAGACAACUUCAUUGUUUUAUUGAUGUUUUAAUUGUAGUUAUGUCACCAGAAGUGAAAGAUUUUAAGCCAUUUUUGAUAUUUUUGGGUCUAAUGAAAGACUAUACACAUUUAAGUUUUAAUGAAAACAUUAAGUGAUAUCUAUCAAAACAAUAUUCUUUAUGAAAACACUUACGUUUAGUCACUAAUGGUAUUGAACAAUGCUAAAAGUUGGUCACUUAUUAUGCAAAAUGUUUCCAAAAAUAACUUGUGUGUUGUUUGGCACUUUCAAUGAAUUUAGUUGCUGAUAAUAUUUAAAAGAACUUUUCUGUUGCUAAUAACUAUGUCAGAAAUUGCAAGCAAAUUCUGGAAAAAACCUCAUUGACAAGAGUUUACUCACAGAAAUUUUUGUUGAUAUUUCUCUUCUACUGAAACUGGUCUUAAUAAGAUGGGACAUGGAUCAAAGCUGUUAAUUUUCAUGCCGAACAUUACAAAAAGUUCUAGAAAGUAAAGCAUGAGGAAAGUCUAACCAUUGAAAAUCUUAUCAGUUUAACUUAAAUAUCAGUCUUAUCAGAUACCAAUUUUUACAUACAAUCAGAUUAUUUAUGUUUACUCAAAUUUGUCUUUUUUUACUAGACAAGUUUGAAAAUCACUGCUUGACAAUUAAAAAUGUAUUCAAUACAAUGGAUACUGUUCAAACUUAUUUACAAGAUCAGAAAGAACGUUUUUACAACAUUUACUCAAGUUAUGAAUGAAAAUUUUCAUCUCAAAUGUAUCUGUAAUAUUUUGAACUGCUUUAAUGCUGAAUAUGUUUUUCUUAAUAUUGAUUUUGGCAAUUGAACAAAAUAGUUUUAUAUUUGCUCGACUAUUGUUAGUAGAAAUGGAGAGAUCUUUUUCUCACAGUAAAAAGCAAUACUGAAAGAUAAUUGUUUGAGCUAUAAUCCUGAUAAUUUUAACAAAUAUAUUGUCACGAAUCAUAACUGAGAGAUUCAAAAAUAAAAGAUUAAUAUGAGAAUAUUUUCAGGAUUUCAUCAAGCAUAAUAUGUUCAUAAAGCAAGUUUAUUUAGAAUAUAUUUUUGCAGUCUUAUUUAUUAUUUAUUUUAGAAAAGAUGAUUAAAGUUAGAAAUUUGUCUGCAAAUUUUCCAAAUAAAUUCCCAAAUGUAAACACAAUUGAUUAAAUUUUUUUUUUUUUUAUAUAAUUUAAGUCUCGAUUAUGGACAAACAACUUGUCACAAGAAUUAUCGGCGGAUGAUGCUUCAAAUGGAACAUUAGUAAGUUUCCGGAUCGGCAAGUUCUAAGAUAAAAGAAGCUUUUGAAGAGCAUUUUAAAAGAUGUUCAAUAGAGCAGAUUAACCUUAGAAAUAGAGUGGAACAGGUUACAAGAUCAUUGAGUUCUAUCAACCAGAAUCUUCAAAGCACUGCACGCCGUAAUUCGAUUCAUCGUUCCAUUUCUUCGGCCGAACUGUGCCAUUCCACCUCGUUUAUAUAACUAAUUGCAGAUGCUAUUAAUAUUUUUGUACUUAUUUCUUUAUCAUCCACAUUCUCUGCAUAUAUAACAUGUAAUUCGAUUGAUACAAACACAAUGUUAACAUUCCACUCGACGUGAAUC